rnacentral:lncRNA from 1 species
UAUCAAUCCGGGAUGAUGCAACGGAACGGGGAUCUUUCGCCGGGCCGUGCGUAGAGGAAACCCGGCGGCCGAUUGCAUCAGAAGCUGAGGGCCUGCGGUACAGCAGACCUAUCCAUCUGAGGACGUCUAGGCCUACCCUGUAUGCUUUAAGCCCUGAGAGAAAUAUCUCCAUUCUAUCCUACUGAACAUGUUCUUCACAUCUGGAAAAGUGGAGAUGGCAGUGUAAUUGGAAAGUCCACUCUCCUAAUCCUGAGCUGUACAGAGCACUGGCAAUUCCAAUGGGCGCUACAGGUGCUGAUCAGGCCCAAAACGAGAGGUCUCUAAAUGGGAGCUGCAUUUCUCACCGAGAAAAGAACAAGUGGAAGAGACAGACUAGUGUGAGCAUGCAUUUCUCUGUCCAUAUGCAGAUGUUUUGCCAUAUUGGCAAUAUUUUGAGUUCCAUGACCUUCCACCCUGUGCCGUCAUGUGUUCAUGAGCGAACUGGAACCAAAUGGCAGCAGAUGGAUGGGUAUCCUCACAUAGAGGUAUGUGCUGUACCCCAGCAACCCUUACUCUGGUACCUGUUUGCCUCUCAGAUGGGCAGCCCUGUGGGACUAGAGGCUGGUCUUUUAUACUGCCUUGUUCCUAGCCAGAUUACCAGUCACAUGACCUGCCUUUAGCAAAAAGGGUGCCAAAGGCUGAGGAAGAACACCCCAAACAUGGAUUCUCAACAGCAACUAAGGGAAAUCCAAGAUGGCUGUGUGCAGAUAACAUAAAAAUUGAAAAAUAAAGAAAGUUCCCCUACAGAGGGACA